rfam:Phytophthora infestans T30-4 supercont1.9 genomic scaffold, whole genome shotgun sequence.
GCCUCGAUAGCUCAGUUGGGAGAGCGUCAGACUGAAGAUCUGAAGGUCCCUUGCUCGAUCCCGGGUCGCGGCA